rnacentral:ncRNA from 1 species
CAAAAGCCUGGUCCUGACUUUUUUAUCCGCCCUAGCCAAGCUUAUACAUGCGAGUCUCCGCACCCCAGUGAGAAUGCCCUCAAAUCCUACCCGGAAGCGAGGAGCAGGUAUCAGGCACACCUAAUGUAGCCCAUGACGCCUUGUUAAAGCCACACCCUCAAGGGUACUCAGCAGUAGCAAAUAUUUGGCAAUUAGUGUAAACUUGACCUAACUACGGCUAACAGGGCCGGUAAAACUCGUGCCAGCCACCGCGGUCAUACGAGUGCUUAACCCAAGUGGAUAACUAGCGGCGUAAAGAGUGGUUAAGGCCCCCCGACAACUAAAGAAGAACGACCUCCGGGCUGUUAUACGCACCCGAUAGUACGAACCCCUUUUACGAAAGUAACUUUAAGCCUCACCUGAACCCACGAAAGUUGGGGAACAAACGGGGAUUAGAUACCCCCUUAUGCCCAACCGUAAACAUAAAUAGAAAUUAGUAUAAUCUAUUCGCCCGGGAAUUACAAGCAUUAGCUUCAAACCCAAAGGACUUGGCGGUGCUUUAUACCCACCUAGAGGAGCCUGUCCUAGAACCGAUACCCCCCGUUCAACCUCACCACUUCUAGCCCAACCCGCCUAUAUACCACCGUCGUCAGCUUACCCCGCAAGGGUCUAGUAGUAAGCUUAGCCGGCACUGCCCAAAACGUCAGGUCAAGGUGUAGCGCACGAAGUGGGCAAGAGAUGGGCUACAUUUUCUGACUCAGAAAAUUACGAAAAGAAGAAAUGAAAAAGCUUCCGAAGGAGGAUUUAGCAGUAAGCAAGGAACAGAGCGCCUUGCUGAAACUGGCCCUAAAGCGCGUACACACCGCCCGUCACUCUCCCCACGUCUACCCUUUAGCCAACAUCAUAAAAACAGCCUUAAAACACAGGGGAGGCAAGUCGUAACAUGGUAAGUGUACCGGAAGGUGUACUUGGACUAUA